rnacentral:rRNA from 1 species
UACGUAGGGUGCGAGCGUUAUUCGGAAUUACUGGGCGUAAAGCGUGCGCAGGCGGUGCUGUAAGACCGGGGUGAAAUCCCCGGGCUUAACCUGGGAACUGCAUUUGUGACUGCAUCGCUGGAGUGCGGCAGAGGGGGAUGGAAUUCCGCGUGUAGCAGUGAAAUGCGUAGAUAUGCGGAGGAACACCGAUGGCGAAGGCAAUCCCCUGGGCCUGCACUGACGCUCAUGCACGAAAGCGUGGGGAGCAAACAGG